rnacentral:rRNA from 1 species
UAGCAGAGGGGGCGAGCGUUGUUCGGAAUUACUGGGCGUAAAGGGCGCGUAGGCGGCCAACUAAGUCAGACGUGAAAUCCCUCGGCUCAACCGGGGAACUGCGUCUGAUACUGGAUGGCUUGAAUUCGGGAGAGGGAUGCGGAAUUCCAAGGUGUAGCGGUGAAAUGCGUAGAUAUCUGGAGGAACACCGGUGGCGAAGGCGGCAUCCUGGACCGAGAUUGACGCUGAUGCGCGAAAGCCAGGGGAGCAAACGGG